CUCUUGUAUCCAAGACUAAGAAGAAUGCCAUCAGCAACAAAUCAUCGAGUCGACAGUCUUCAAAAAGCACAAUGACAUUUACCUCAAUUGGACAAGUCAAUGACAUCAAUCUACAAUUUUCAUCAUCAACUGAGGAAUGGAAUGGACUGGAGAUAUUGACAGUGAUUACAGUGGCAAGAAGACGAAGAAAUACAUUGAUCAUAAAUUAGAUCAAAGAUGCUAGUGAAAUAAUGGGGACAACUGAGUCAAGAAUAAUAUUGCUGGUGUAUGAUAAUUUCUUCGAGUCGAGUUUUUUCAUUGACAACUUCUACUUGUUCAUCGAAAAAAUCAUCGAGACAAAAUCAACACAAAUGAGGUCAGAGCACGACAAAAUACGCUGAUAAAUUUUGGAGUAAAAAGUUGGAGCAAGCUGAAGUGAAGGUCAUAGAUUGUUUAUUUGGAUGAUAAGUGGACGAUAUUGAAGCUAAGCAUCAGCUGAUAAUAGAUUCAUCAAAUGCAAGUGUUAAAAAAGCGAGAAUAGAGUGAAGCAUCGCUGAUAAAUCAUGAAGCAAAGGUUGUGCUCGAGUAGAUUGUCCUAAAUUCAAUCAUGACAAAGUCAUUAUUCAAAUACAAUUUCAAAAACCAUGACGUCAAGAUACUUGAUAUUGAAACAAAAUGACAUACUGCGGUGGAAGAAAAAAAAAAAUAAAGCUGUAAAUUGUUGAUGAAACAAUGCUGAUGCUGACAUUGAUAAGUGAUAGUGAGUAAAAAUUGUACGAGUGAAAAGUGAAGUGAUGUGAUUAGUAGCAGACUACCUGAUGAUCAUCCUGAACCAUCUUCAGACAUAAAGAGCUGAUUUGCUGCAACAUGUUCUUCAGAAAGAUUCAGUGAUGAUGAAAUCUGAUGGAUUCAUACAGCAUCAAGUUGAUGGGGAAAUAAAUAAGGAGACUUGCUGCAAGUACCCAUGGGCAGAGUAUAGACCGAAUUGCGGCAAUCAAUGACACGCAAUCCAAUUGCAGCAAUUAGUUACUCCACUACGUGACUAUACAUGGCGCUCGGAUUACCUUAUUUCGCAAAACCAGAUUGUCAUGAGCUGUAGACUGAAUUCUUCAUCAUGAAAAUCAUCAGAGUCUAGGGCUUUGUUAAGAGUCUUCACUCAGAGUCAAGUUAGAAGUGCGAUUACACUCGAUAAACGAUUAGAGGUAUACUAAUCGUGGUAGGCCUUGUCACUCAGAAUCCUGUGAUAUUCAUCCGACGGACAGGUCCAGAAUAUUAUCCGAUGCUGAUCAAUGACAAAUUAAUUCUUCAAGUGUCCAGAUCACCAUCAAUGAAGAUGAAAGUGGAAGUUAAAUUUGAGCGAAUCAACGCAUCAUCUUCUUUACUAUAUCGUGAAAAAAAAAUAUAUGAUACACUUGAUGGUGUCAUUGGAAUUCCA